GACUCUCGGCAACGGAUAUCUCGGCUCUCGCAUCGAUGAAGAACGUAGCGAAAUGCGAUACUUGGUGUGAAUUGCAGAAUCCGUGAACCAUCGAGUCUUUGAACGCAAGUUGCGCCGAAGCCGUUAGGCCGAGGGCACGUCUGCCUGGGCGUCA
rnacentral:rRNA from 1 species